rnacentral:rRNA from 1 species
GAUGAACGCUGGCGGCGUGCUUAACACAUGCAAGUCGAACGGAAAGGCUCCUGCUUGCAGGGGUACUCGAGUGGCGAACGGGUGAGUAACACGUGGGUGAUCUGCCCUGCACUUCGGGAUAAGCCUGGGAAACUGGGUCUAAUACCGGAUAGGACCACAUUUUGGAUGGUGUGGUGGAAAGUUUUUCGGUGUGGGAUGAGCUCGCGGCCUAUCAGCUUGUUGGUGGGGUAAUGGCCUACCAAGGCGUCGACGGGUAGCCGGCCUGAGGGGGUGUACGGCCACAUUGGGACUGAGAUACGGCCCAGACUCCUACGGGAGGCAGCAGUGGGGAAUAUUGCACAAUGGGCGCAAGCCUGAUGCAGCGACGCCGCGUGGGGGAUGACGGCCUUCGGGUUGUAAACUCCUUUCGCUAGGGACGAAGCGCAAGUGACGGUACCUGGAGAAGAAGCACCGGCUAACUACGU